rnacentral:miRNA from 1 species
AUGCCUGUCGGUUACUGCCUGCU